AUGUGCCUACGGGAGGCAGCAGUGAGGAAUAUUGGUCAAUGGCCGCAGGGCUGAACCAGCCAAGUCGCGUGAGGGAUGACGGUCCUAUGGAUUGUAAACCUCUUUUGUCAGGGAGCAAAGGGCGCCACGUGUGGCGUUUUGCGAGUACCUGAAGAAAAAGCAUCGGCUAACUCCGUGCCAGCAGCCGCGGUAAUACGGAGGAUGCGAGCGUUAUCCGGAUUUAUUGGGUUUAAAGGGUGCGCAGGCGGAAUGUCAAGUCAGCGGUAAAAUUUCGGGGCCCACCCCCGCCGCCCCGU
rnacentral:rRNA from 1 species